GAAUAAAAAGUCUGUCCUUGAAGUGCUGGCAUGCUCCUUCAGGUCUCCGUUUGACUCUUACCUCUCAGAGAUCCCUUCUCCCACCUCACCCACGAUGCAGCUCUUCCUCCAUUCUCUAAGACCACAGCCGCCUUUGCUAUUCUCUUUCUUCUCAUUUCCUACGCAUCCCAUGAAACACGAUUCACUCGGUGGCUCCCGGUUUACUAUGCAUCACCCCAACUCGAAUGCAGGCUAGAGUAGAAAAGAUGGUUUCUGUGGUAUUUGCAGUACAGGACUGAGAUCAGAGUACAUGCUCAAUGAACAUCUUCUGUCUGUUACCAGGACUUAGUACAGAACUGUAUCAGUGGAUAUGCAUUGAGUAAAUGUUUUCACUUCACUUAAGGAAAAGGUGAAACAGAAAUUCAGUAGGGAAAAGAUGGUCAUUUCAGUAAAUAAUACUGUAUGGGUUAAUGGAGAUCUACCCUUAAUAAAAGGGAAUGUAGAGUAGCUACAACUCUUAAUUACUGCUAGUAGGCUGUGGAUUAACACAGGCGCCUUGGUAAACUGCCUGACAAUAUCUCCUAGUGUGGGUCCCCCCCUCACCUCCUGCUACUUGGGACCUCAUCAUCAGCCACAUCCAGUUCUGCCGUCACCCAUCCUCGCCUCCUCCUGGGAGUCUGGGUCAGCGCCGCCACAUCGGUCUCCACUCCUGGCCCCUUCCUCUGCGUGCUGCCUCUAUCUAGCAAAAGAAAUGGAUGCUUCAGGCCAAACCCAGAUGUUUUAAACUAGUUCCCUUCUAAUCUUCUGUGGAAAAGCCAUGCCUGCAAAGAACAUGGGCUUAGUGGUAAACAAACUAGUUCCCUUCUAAUCUUCUGUGGAAAAGCCAUGCCUGCAAAGAACAUGGGCUUAGUGGUAAACUGUCACUUCGUGUGGGCCGAGCCCCUCAGUCGUGUCUGACUCUGAGCGACCCCAUGGACUGUGGCCUGCCAGGCUCCUUGUCCGUGGGAUUCUCUAGGCAAGAACACUGGAGUGGGUUGCCAUGCCCUCCUCCAGGGGAUCUUCUGGACCCAGGGAUCAAACCUGCAUCUCUUCCAAAUUGUCACUCACCUGGCAAAAUCGGAGAGGUGCAUGAUCAGGAGGAAGGGACGCUGGAAUCAGGUCACCUGAGGAAUGGGUUCAUGCACUGGGAGAAAUUCAGUCUGGGAAAAAGGAUGGGCGAAUGUGUGCAAGGAACUUGCUCUCCUCAGCCCCUCAUUCCUGCCUCUCCUCACCUCUCGUCAUUCCUGCCUUUCCUCUUGUAAGAGAAAACUCCCACAGCCCGGGUCUCAGGAACUGACAGUUUAAAAGUGCUCCAGGUUGUUUUGGCUAGAUUAGGUUAUAACGAUAGUGCAAAUAAGUGAGACACAGA
ensembl:lncRNA